rnacentral:lncRNA from 1 species
AUGCCCCCACGCGUGACCGUGGCCGCUCCUGCCCCCUGCCCUGCGCCCCCCCCGUGCGCCCCUCGCUGCCCCUGGCACCGCUCGGCACCGCUCCUGCCCCUUGCGGGGGGGUUUCGUGCCCCGUCCCGGCUCCGGGGGCUUGCGGAGGGGGGGAUGUAUGCGUGUGAGGAGGGGGGGGGGGGGCGGCCUCGCAGCGCCCCGCCGGAGCGGGGGGGUGGGGGGCUCGCCCUCUCCCAGCCCCGAAAUGACGCAGCCCCUGCUCCAGCAUCGGCUCCCGUUCGGGCUGGCUCCAUUUCAGGAGCUCCGUCUCCCCCCACCCCCUUCUUCCCAGCCUUCCUCCUUCCUCCUCCUCCUCGCCUCACCGUCACUCUCCCCCCGCCCCGCCGCCCCAAACUCCUUCCUCAGGACCGUGGGAUGCUGGCGAGCCCUGGCGAGAGUUGCCGGUCUCCAUUUCCAAGCGGGGAGCCGCCGGGAGCGCCUAUUUUAACAUUGCGGACGAGAUAGGCAGAAAAAGGAGCGUUUGACUCGGCCCACUCUGUUCUCCAGCCUUAUUACAUGGGGUUUUUGUCUCUCCAAGUCAUUCCUCAGCAUCGCCUUGAAUGGCAUCUACUGCAC